rnacentral:rRNA from 1 species
GACGAACGCUGGCGGCGUGCUUAACACAUGCAAGUCGAACGGAAAGGCCCUGCUUUUGUGGGGCGCUCGAGUGGCGAACGGGUGAGUAACACGUGAGUAACCUGCCCUUGACUUUGGGAUAACUUCAGGAAACUGGGGCGAAUACCGGAUAGGAGCUCCUGCUGCAUGGUGGGGGUUGGAAAGUUUCGGCGGUUGGGGAUGGACUCGCGGCUUAUCAGCUUGUUGGUGGGGUAGUGGCUUGCCAAGGCUUUGACGGGUAGCCGGCCUGAGAGGGUGACCGGCCACCUUGGGACUGAGAUACGGCCCAGACUCCUACGGGAGGCAGCAGUGGGGAAUAUUGCACAAUGGGCGGAAGCCUAAUGCAGCAACGCCGCGUGCGGGAUGACGGCCUUCGGGUUGUAAACCGCUUUCGCCUGUGACGAAGCGUGAGUGACGGUAAUGGGUAAAGAAGCACCGGCUAACUACGUG